rnacentral:rRNA from 1 species
AACGAACGCUGGCGGCAUGCCUAACACAUGCAAGUCGAACGAGACCUUCGGGUCUAGUGGCGCACGGGUGCGUAACGCGUGGGAACCUGCCCUUAGGUUCGGAAUAACUCCCCGACAGGGGUGCUAAUACCGAAUAAUGUCUUCGGACCAAAGAUUUAUCGCCUUUGGAUGGGCCCGAGUUGGAUUAGCUAGUUGGUAGGGUAAAAGCCUACCAAGGCGACGAUCCAUAGCUGGUCAGAGAGGAUGAGCAGCCACACUGGGACUGAGACACGGCCGAGACUCCUACGGGAGGCAGCAGUGGGGAAUAUUGGACAACGGGCGAAGGCCUGAUCCAGCAAUGCCGCGUGAGUGAUGAAGGCCUUAGGGUUGUAAAGCUCUUUUACCCGGGAUGAUAAUGACAGUACCGGGAGAAUAAGCUACGGCUAACUCCGUG